ACUGGUGACCUCUAGCUCUUGCUGCCAUCUAUCUUGUGCUUUCCACCUAUGGUACUUUGUGUUCCCAGCACAUUUUCUUGCAGCAUUGUGUGAAGUACCUGCCUUUGGCAGUGAGCUUUACGACUGUCUAUUGCUUUUGUGUCCGUUAACUAUGCCGAGAAAGCUGGAUCUAAUGUUUGUGGCAUUAGUGCUAUGCCUUCUGCACAGUUUCUUUUAUCUUUCUUUCUUGUGAAGUGUUGUGAUGAAGCUUUUAUCUUGAUUGUAGGUUACUGUGCACUGAAACUACAUACAGAGCACAUAAGUUGAGUGCUGACUUAUUACAGGAAGACCUGUAGGAUUAGUCACUCAUGUCUGGCAUAUUAGAGGGUGAAUGGAUAUGCUACAAAUUAGGCUACUGGUUUGCUAGAUCUGUAUUCAUCACUUGUGGAGUUUCUAGCUUUUGCUGAAAAGCAGUAGGGGAAAAAGAGGUUUAAGCAUUAUAACGGUUUAGGCAGCUAGUUGUGUUGCCAUUGUGUUUCUUACAUCUUUCUAAAAGGAUUAUAUGACUUGACCUUGUUCAUAGUCUACACAAAAUAUGCAGUUCAAGUAUUGACAGGUAUGGAGAAAAGGACGCAGGAUAUUGUUUGGGUAGUGCUCUUCCCAAGCAAUACUCAUGUGUCCUGGUCACAUUUCGUGCCCCCUCUAUUUACUGUUUGUCCAUGUCUGUGAUUGUGUUGUAUUUUCAUUGUUGACGGCCAUUUGUUGUGUUUGAUGAUACAUGGUGUGCCUGUGGGAAAGUGCAGUUAACAUUAGGCAUGUAAACUCCUGAAAGGCCACCUCUGCUUGAUAUGUUUGCUUGGAUAUACAGUAAAGCCUGGUUCAUACAUCUUGGAAAAAAAAUGCAAGAGAAAAUAGGAUUAACUGGAAGAACAUACAAUCGAGCAAGAAAAAGUAGCAUAAAAAUCGUGUGACAGUGCAAGGCACAAGUCAUAAAAAUGAGACGGACAAAUCCUACUUUGUAGAAAAAAAAAGUAGGAUUUUUCUUUUAGCUAGAAAUUACAGGUUUAAAUGCGAAGGGUUGCGUGAACUGUUGUGGUACAAAGCACGAGAUGCUGACGCUUCUCGAGCUAGUAGGGUUCUGGUGGCCCAAGACGCAUUUUGUUUUUUUUUCCUAUUGCUUAGUGUUUUAAGAUGGCAAUGGGAAAUGGAAGCAAAAUCGAGCUGGUCGGCAAUGCCAGAUGCCGCCGGUGCAAAACAAGGGACUCACAUAAGGCAUGCGCUUCUUGCAGCAGGUAACAGCGGAGCGUUUGGGUUAUCGCCUACUAAAAGCCUGAAGUAUGCUUCCUAUGGCACUAUGCCCCAUGUACUGUAAAACAGAAAGGUGAAGAUGCUUAUCACAAUGGGGUUAGUGGUGAUAGCUGUGGAUUGGGAUGUGACAACCCGGGAGGAGAUUUACUGUUAAUGGAAUAAGAAACUGACUGUCACCAGCAUUUUCAUGUGAGACAGGCAGGCGAGUAUUGCGGGGAAGCUGCCACGAUGGGCGGCUACUGUUCUCGGUUGCGCACACCUUAUGAAUUUUCUUGUUUACAUGCGAUCUAGUGGCCGGAAAAUGUAUCAUACGAUUGCAGUUUGGCGAUGUAGUUUGGUGCCGAAAGAUAGUAUUUUCUGGGAACAUAUGAACUGGUAAAAAAUAAGUGUAACUACAUUGGUUCAUUUUUCUGUGUUCUUGACCGCAAACAUUGGCACCGGGAAAUCAUAAGUAACAGGACCGUAUCGACGAGGUUCUGCUGUAAUUUGCUCUACCUAGUGCUAGGUAGACGCAGGAUUGUAGCGUGAAGAAAAACUAAAAUGAGUGCCAAGAGUACGAAGCUGUUUAAAUCAAGUGUAUUAAAUGCCUCUGAAAGCAAAUAACUAAUAGUCUGAUUUCUUAUUGUCUAAUUUCAGAGUAGGUGUGCUUUGCUACUCACAGUUUUGUUUACACUUCAAGUUUUUUGUCAGUGACAGAAGUUCUGUUUAGUUCUUCAUGCACACAUUUAUUGACUGUGUGAAGCCCAGAAUCAAAAUUACUGUUGCCAGCUUGUACCACUACGUCUCCAAGUAUAAUUUCCAAGUAAUAAUGGUAGUAUAUGCCCUGUAGUACAUAUUUUAUCCCACAGUGAUGUUUUGUUUUGACUUGCAUGACAUUCUUAUGCCCCUUCCUGCAAGGUAUACUGUCACUUUAUUCAGGAUUAUGGAACAAUGAUUUUUUGAAGCAGUAUAUGCCGAACUUAUUUUAAAGCUUUUUGCAUGGUUGAAUUUAUAAGUGCUACUUUUAUGUAUUGUAUAUAUACACUUGACAGUACUGCGUAACUUGUCUAUAUGACUCACUGAGACUAGUUGCCAAGAGCAGCUGUAUUGUCAUCAAUAUUUUUCGUUUGGGGUGCAUAGUUUGUUAGGUUUUGUUGAGUGUCAGCAUUAUUUACUGAAGUCUUCUGAAGGCAUUAACAUGUGAACCUCUCUGUGAUGAAACAAACACUUUUCUGUCUUUGCAAAACACACUUGGGGGGGCAGGUCUCUUGUAUACGAGCAUGCUCAAGCAAAUUUAACCAAAAAAUGUCUUCUACAAGCAUUAUGGAAGGAGUGACUGUAACAACUUUGGCACAUUCACCUAAAGGGGCCCGGAAGAAAUUUGAGUUUUGCACAAAUUCAUGAAUUUGAUAGCUUAGAUCCCAACGUUAACAACAGGCUUUAAAUUAAAGGUGCUACUUUCUCUGUAAAUGAAUCUCAUCUGUGCAACAAGAAACGUGUGAGGAACUCUUUAAAAGGAACAUUAAAGAGGAAUGUCAAAUUAAACUGUAUUAGUAAAUUACUCUUCUGCAAUAGGCUAAGCAAGCACUCUUUAUUGUCAGAGGAGGCUUGGCCAACCAAAAGUGAUGCAAGAACAAAAGACGAGUGGUGAUUCUGGCCCUGAAAUUCCCUCACCAGCUUUCCACACCAUAGAUAUUGACAGCAUCAGUAAGAAAGGAUAACAUUGCAUUAUUAAAGGAGCCAAGAACUCGACGUAACAAGUUUCAAGAACUUUUCUUCUGCCAAAAUGGCCCAUAUGCAAGCACAUAGAAACCCGUGACAUCAUACUGAUGAACCAUCAUUGAGAUUCUGAUGUAACUAUUUUCAUUUUUUCGUUGGAAAGCGGUUGCUAGUGAAGAAAAUCAAUGCAAGAGUUCUUUUAAAUUUGCGGCGUAACCUCGGCGGCCAGUUUGUCUAUAUGAUGUCACGGAUCUCAACAUAUUAUCUGGGCCCUUUUGGCGCAUGAAAUUCUUUAAACAUGCUAGUCUGAGUCUACUUCUUCAUUGCAAUGCAAAUGCAUUUUAUCAAUAAACAAUUAGAGCCAAGCACACAGUGUCAAAAUUUGUCAUUGCCAUGCAUUUGAUCUUCGUGUCCUCUCAUGAUAAAUGUGACCAUUUUGUUAUCGCAGGAGUGUAAUUUACUAAUAUAGCUCAACGGUAAAUCUUUUUUCAUCCCUUUAAAGUGGUCUUAAACCACCCCUUGGGCUUGAGGAAAAAAACAUCCAUGGAUAGCAUGCACUACUGUGAACAUCUCAGCCAAGCUUUGUAGUUGUGCUGUGCACGCCGUGUGGAGGUCGUAAGCAGAGCGCAAUGUUGCUGUUCUCACAGGCGCUUUCUUUUCAACAAGUCUUCACUCUAUUCUGGACGCAUUAUUUCAUAAUAGAGAGUUUUAGAAUGGGGGCUCCAAUAUUUGGGGGCCCCAAAGAGCUUUGCGGGUGUUAGCUUUGGGGCACGCAGGAGUGAAGAGAUUUAGAAUAGGGCUUUGCGUUUGCGGAUAGCGUCUUGCGCUGACAGCGCCAUUACAGCGUCUAAGAAAAACGAUUAAAAAUAAUUAAAUAAAACAUACCAUUUUAUGAUAUGAAUAGUAAUUUUGACUUGCGUGUAUUCGCGUUUAAUUAUAAUUUAGAGGUUAUUCUUUAAGCAGCAAACAAUUAGUUGUGCUUAGUUUUGAGCAACAAAACCAACUUUACGUGCCUUCACCAGCUAAGCUUAGCCGUGUUAGGCCUACGAGCCAUAUAAUCCACACUCGAAUUCAGAAUCAGUGGCGUCUAAUGAAUCAAUCUUCAUAACACACGCUAUAGUCGGAUACAACUUUAGAAAAAAGGGGAGGCCCCGCCCAGGUGACCGAUGCGGCGAAGUCACCGACCGUCCGGCGCAUGACGUCGGUCCAGAGUUCGCGCCCAUUGGUGGAUGCUCGUGUGCAUCCGCCUCGGAGGAGUAAACGCCCCCUUUUUUCUAAAGUUGUAUCCGACUAUAGUUGAGAGAAAGCGAUAACUGCAGUCACUUCUCCUAGCUUGCGAACGUCACGCGUUGCCGCGAAUCGAACCCAGUUUGGUGCUAGGUUAGAGCCGUCGCUUCGAUGGGUGCCGCCAUGUUUGUUGACGCAAAGCUUUUGGGAACACUAUUUGAGCUCCCACUAAAUCGCUGAAAUAGCGUUCCCAACGCAAAACCCAAACGCAGUUUGCGUCUCGCGCAUGCACAGUGGCUUCGACGCUAUUUCUUUGGGGCCCCAAAACGUUUGAGGCCCCUAUUCUAAAACUCUCUAAUAUAGCAGAUUCCGACAUGUGGCUGCUGUUGGCCAAUAGCUGACAUCAAUCAAGAAGGUUGUUUGGAUCAGUGCGCUUCUUUCUACUGUUACUGUGUUACUGUGUAUAUUUAUUGACAAAGUUUAAUAAACAGUCCAAAGUAAGCGAAAAUCACCUUUGGAUUUAGAUAAUAAUUGCAUACUUCGAAAAGAAGCCAACUGUCGUCUGCCCACGCGGUCUCCCGUGUACAACUAAACCUUGGACCACCCUGCUUAUCGGUGUCGUAGCUGUCGGGUCUCGCUAAUAAAGAAAUUUACUAGCUUUGAGUGCUCAACUAGCCUCAAACCACACAAAACUUCAGUCCAGACCAUACGCGCAUUUACUAGCACGUGUGCACUCCUGGUCGCUAGGUUAGACACCUUGGCAGACUUUAUAGCGCUUCAAAAUGUGCAAGUUAGACCUGGUUACUAUCUGUCCGUCAAGCUGGCGAAGGACAAAGCCGGUCCGCACCACAUAGCAUGGUCAGACAAGCAUAUGAGCAUGAGCAUGCGCUCCACCCCUUUCGUGCACAAAGCAAACGCUGCGCAUACGUACUACAGUUGCAUGUAGCUGCAGUCUACUAGUAGCAUAGAUACCGUGGCUACCACGGAUGCCGCAACGAGUCCACUGGCUGAGUGUACUGCAGCUCGCUGCGGUGAACCGCAUUUGGCUUACGUUUGGCGUGUUGUAGGUGCCAAAAAUCUGAACUAGUGGUGUCUCUGUUAAGAUCCAAAAUCAAAUCUGAACUAUGUUCCACAGUGACACUCAGGAGGCGGUGUGUUGCGGGCACGCCCCACUUCACUGUAGCCUUUGCAGUGCACAACAUUGAUGAAGGAGCAGAAGCACCGUGAAGGGCGUGUUUGAUUGCCAAUAACUCUGCUUCUUCUGAACGCAUUGAAGUAUUUUUAGUUCUGAAAAUAGCCUAUUUUAUAUUCAAAUGCAUUUCUCCACUUAGAUAUAAAGUGGUUCAGGGCCCCUUUAACAGCAAAAACUGAUUUAGGGUUGUGUCUUCAAGUGCCCCUUUAACUAAUGCACCAAAGCAGUUUUACUGUAAAUGUAGCUUGGAAUGGGCAGACUUUUCUUUUCUUUCUUUUUUUUUUUUUUAGGCCUGUUGCUGACACCUCCUCCUGUUUGUAGGAGCUGUUGCCAGGUUUUUCACACCUAGCGCCCCAUUGACUCAUCUUAGGUCGCAAAGUUGCUUCUAGGGCGGACGCGCACCUUCGAGCGGUAUUCCUCAUAUCAGAGGUCCCAGCUGGAGCAAGAAUACCAGCGCAGCCGCUUUAUCUCCUACGAGCGCAAGGCUGAUCUGGCCCAAAGGCUUGGCCUUUCGAAGACCCAGGUUCAGUUCUGGUUUCAGAAUCGGCGCAGCAAGGAGAAAAAGCUGCUGCAAAAGAAUAUGACUACCUUUCAGCAAUGACAUUAGUAGCAUUGUGCCUGGUGGAUCAGCAAAGGCCUCGUCUGGGUGAACACCAGUGGUCACAGCAGUGAUGAAAGUAUGAUGCAGUUGUGCAGCUUGAUGCUUGUAGCCAUGUCGCCUCCCCUGUAGUAAGUUUUUAAGCAGUGUCACACUUUUUACACAUGUACGCUGCAGUUUUAUCUAGUGUGCAGUUUUUCUGCUUCAGUUUUGUGAAUGGCUCAUAGGUAUGUAUAGCCUAUAGUCUUUGCAACAGUGUGAUUUAACCUAUUCUUAAUAGAGGCAUGGCAUGGCUUUUUGUAGCAGCACUGAUUUCAAGUGUUUAGGACUCUUCCUGUGUUGAAGCCUCAUUGUGUGUACGGCAUUGUAUUUUUUUUGCAUUGAAGGCAUUGGAAAAGGUUCAUACUGCUAUUACCAAAGUGCUACCUUCACUCACUGUGCACUGCUCUAUAAAAAAACGCUGAGGCAAGAAUCUUUUUGAUGAGUGAACAUAACUUGCUAAUACAACUAUGCAGUGGCUUUGUGUUGCUUUGUCCUUGGCUAUACAAACAACUUGCUACCUACACUGUGCACAAAACAUUUGUUAUCUUGCAUUUAUAGUUGCAACUACAGUCAUGCAGCGUUAACAAAGUGACAGAUGACCUCUGUUAUGCAUAUACCGCACAGGCCUCAUUCACAAGGCAGCAUUGUAGCUAGCUUAUCCCUCCCUGUGCAAGAGGUGGCAGUGAAAACUUCUAUACUGCUUCGGUCAAAGCAAUGGGCUGUGCUUUCACACACCUUAGUUGCAUCUUCCAUGCAUGAGAGCCUCUUGUGAUGUCAUUUAGCCUUAGUCUGAUCUAUCUACUCUAGCGUUUGUAUAAUUGUCGCCAUGCUCUGGGAAGAGUCAGUGUAAUUGUACUUGUCCUGCAUUUCUUGCUGUUGUGUCCCUUGUGUCUGUAUUGAACAAAUUUUUAAACUCAGUAUUUUCAUGUUUUUAACCGGUUAAUAAACCAAAGAAACAGCACA